rnacentral:rRNA from 1 species
GCCUUGAUGUGUAGGAUAGGUGGGAGGCUUUGAAGUGUGGACGCCAGUCUGCAUGGAGCCGACCUUGAAUACCACCCUUUAAUGUUUGAUGUUCUAACGUUGACCCGUAAUCCGGGUUGCGGACAGUGUCUGGUGGGUAGUUUGACUGGGGCGGUCUCCUCCUAAAGAGUAACGGAGGAGCACGAAGGUUGGCUAAUCCUGGUCGGACAUCAGGAGGUUAGUGCAAUGGCAUAAGCCAGCUUGACUGCGAGCGUGACGGCGCGAGCAGGUGCGAAAGCAGGUCAUAGUGAUCCGGUGGUUCUGAAUGGAAGGGCCAUCGCUCAACGGAUAAAAGGUACUCCGGGGAUAACAGGCUGAUACCGCCCAAGAGUUCAUAUCGACGGCGGUGUUUGGCACCUCGAUGUCGGCUCAUCACAUCCUGGGGCUGAAGUAGGUCCCAAGGGUAUGGCUGUUCGCCAUUUAAAGUGGUACGCGAGCUGGGUUUAGAACGUCGUGAGACAGUUCGGUCCCUAUCUGCCGUGGGCGCUGGAGAACUGAGGGGGGCUGCUCCUAGUACGAGAGGACCGGAGUGGACGCAUCACUGGUGUUCGGGUUGUCAUGCCAAUGGCACUGCCCGGUAGCUAAAUGCGGAAGAGAUAAGUGCUGAAAGCAUCUAAGCACGAAACUUGCCCCGAGAUGAGUUCUCCCUGACCCUUUAAGGGUCCUGAAGGAACGUUGAAGACGACGACGUUGAUAGGCCGGGUGUGUAAGCGCAGCGAUGCGUUGAGCUAACCGGUACUAAUGAACC